rnacentral:tRNA from 1 species
UAGUUCAGUGUCAGAGCACAGGCCUCGCAUGUCUGAGGCCCUGGGUUCCAUCCCCAG